rnacentral:rRNA from 1 species
UACGGGGGGGGCAAGCGUUGUUCGGAAUUACUGGGCGUAAAGGGCUCGUAGGCGGCCAACUAAGUCAGACGUGAAAUCCCUCGGCUUAACCGGGGAACUGCGCCUGAUACUGGAUGGCUAGAGGUUGGGAGAGGGAUGCGGAAUUCCAGGUGUAGCGGUGAAAUGCGUAGAUAUCUGGAGGAACACCGGUGGCGAAGGCGGGUCUCUGGGCCGAAACUGACGCUGAGGAGCGAAAGCGUGGGGAGCAAACAGG